CACAGUAGCUCUGGCUGCAACCGCUGAAAGGAGACCCUACGGGCAGAUCUCUCAGGGCCCAGGAGUGCGGAGCUGGGCACCCCCGACUGUCCUCAGCUAACCCAAGGGUGCAGCCAGCUCCUUCCCCACAAUGCAGUUUGCUCUCCCCGAUUCUGCAACCCAAGUCACAAUUCCCAGGAGGCAUCCAGGGAUGGCUCACAGGGUCUCGGGAAGAAAAGAGGCUCAGCUACAUUUAGCUUGUGUCUCGUGCAGGAUGACGAGCAGCGAGAAGACCCAUUUAAAAAUGUGCGAUGGUGAUCAAGUCGCAAGUGGGACAGAUGGAAGUCUGGGGACGAGUGUAGGGUUAGGGGAGAGAGGAAGAAACGGGAAAAAUAAAGAGGGGGUUUGGUUUAGAGACACAAGGAGAUGGUAACAGGAGAGCUGAUGCCUGGGCUUUCAGAAGCAGGGGCCUGGAGGGCCACAGGAAAAGGGGAGUCCCGUGGCAGUGAGCUGGUGCUGAGACAACAGUGUCCGUCAGUCGGGCAGGUGUCCCAGGAGGGCUGCGGGGGGAGGGGGUUUGGAGCCUCCAGGGAUCUGGUCUGGAAAAGCGACCAAGAGCCUCAUGAGCCCCACACUAAGGAAUCUGAUGAGAAGUCAACUGGCCUCUGAGCUUCUUGGAUUAGAUGUUGCUAUUUCCCCCCCAAUUUAGGAAAAUGUGGCCAUUAAUGCUUCAUACGAUUUUUGUGUUCUCUCUUUUUUCUCUCUCCAUUACACAUACUGGCUGGAGGGCUUCGUACGGCCCAUCGGUCAUUAAGCCUCUCUGAGAAAGACUGUUCGAGCUUUUAUCCAUUCUUCAAUCGGCUCAUUUCUGGGAUCUCGCUUCAGGUUCCCUAGCCUUCCUGCAGUCUCCCACCUGCUGCUGAACCCCCGGCCCCCCCUCGAAGACUGUCGUUAUCAGACAGUAUAGCCCUCGGGUCUCAGAUUUCCGAAACUGGACUUUUGUUUUUAAGAAUAUAGUUUUCCUUUCUCUGCCAACGUUCCCCAUCUAUUUGCUCAUUGUAAGCAUCCUUUCCUAUAUGUGCCUGUAGAUUUUCCUAACAGCUACGUUAAAAAGGCUUUCCCGCGGAAUCGAACUCUGACUCCGGAGGGCCAGGGUCAGUCCUGGCGUCACUGCCUGCCCUCAGGUGGGUUAAUCCAGCCACCAGCGACGCCACAAGCACCUUCUGGGGAACCAGGGGCCCAUCAUCGGAAGUCACACUUACUGUGUGUCCCUGGAAGGUUUUGACCGGGCGGUCACAGCCGAGUCUGCAGACGUGAAUACACAUGUCGGUGCUGCAGGAGGCGAAGGCAGUGUUGUUCUGCCAAUCCACGUCGAGGGCGGGCGCUGCAGGGAAGGGGGGCGGAGACACCGCGGCAUUUACUACUGGGGCGCACGCUCAGCCGACUUAAAAACAACUAGAAGCAGAGUCCAGAAGCCUUCUCUAGUAACACACUAAAAGAACGUGCCCAGUGUGAACACAGCCUCUUCCCCUCAGAGUCCAUAAAGAGCUGUCCGUGCACAUCUGGGAUGCUGAGCAGACGCUCUGGAGAGACCCCCGUGACGGCUGCCAUGCCCUGUGGCAUCUCCGGACGCCCCGACGCGGGGACAGGGGCAAGUCAGCACUGAAUCGGGAGAAGAAUCCAGAUUCCUCAGAAUGUGCUAGUGAUCAGACGGCCCCUCCGAUCUUCCACAGCACUGUGUUUUCACAGUAGCCCCACGGUUCCCGGCCCACCUCCCGCCUGGGCACAGCGGAAGGCAGGCGCGGAUCGCGCUUGGCCAGGGGAUGAGCCCGUGGGCCGGAGCGCUACGACCGCAGCUGCUGUCGCUGACGACACCGCGCCGGCGAAGUCCUCAAUUCCUGGCCGCCCUCUGCAUUCAGGGCAUGCGGUCCGUACGCUUGCAAACAGGACCAUCUGGGGGGCAGCUCUGGGGACAGUGUCUAGCACCUGGUCGUAAAAAUUAACAUCCGCUGACCCUCGCCAUCCAGAGAGGGGGACCCUCUGUACUUGGGUGGCUGACCCCCUGUGAGUGGGCCCCUGCCACCAGGAGCCCCGGAGCCCCCAGGAUGAUCUCACCAUUCGGUGUGGGUAAGCGACGGGAGGCAGGGCGUAGCGAUUCGGGGUCCACAUGCGCUCCCUGCCCACACGUGGGCCAGUGAGGUUCAGCAGUCAGCAGCACUCCAGGCACAGCCUGGCUUUCUUUGUGUUUUUGUUUUGUUUUUAAGUUUAAUUUUGCAAUGUUACUGUUGAUCCAGGCUCCCCUAGUAGUUGCAUUCUGCGGCUCUACGGGAUGGAGGCAAGAGCAGAAGGCUGAUGCUGGUACAGUGUGUGUGUCGGGGGGGAGCUGGGCCACUUCUGAGCGGCUCUGAGCUCAGCUCUGAGCGGCCACGUGCACAGGCAGAUCCAGACCUGUGCCACGGUCACCGAGCAUCCCCUCGUGCCACCUUAUACUCACACCAAGGCCUCCCUGCACCAUCCCUACGGUCUGGCUCCACUCACGCGUUCUCCAGUUCCAACAGUUCUUCAUCUCAAGGUUAUAGGUAACGGAGUCAUGCAGCAGGCGACCUUUGGAGACUGGUCCGAUGGAGACCCCUUGAGAUCUAUCAGGCUGUUCUGUGUUACCAACAGUCUGUUGACGACAUGCUCCUUAUUGCUGAGUGGUAGUCCACGGUCAGCCUCCGAGGAAACGCUUCCUGCUGAUGGUGACAGACCGUGGCCCUAACGGGUGUUCGUGGGAAAAACCUAACGAGCCAAAGCAAUUUCUCAGACCAACCCAUCAACUCGAGGAGAUUCUGAAUGCUGACAAACGGUCCUCCUUAUAAGCUCUAUCUGUGUUUUGCUCCGAAAAAGAGCACACUUCCUUUUCUUUCAAGUUACCAUCUUGAACAGUUUCUAGCACUCUCCUUCACGCUAAAGAAAAAGAAAAAGAGCAAACGACACCUGGAUCUUACUGAACCGGCGAUGGGGACCUAUACACCAUUAUGGUGAGAAUUAUGGGUGAGAAUAUGUAAGAAACACAUGGGUGGUGUUCUUGGCCAGUGGGACAGAGAGCCCUUCCAUGAAGUCUUAGAAAUGCUUUGGGAAAUAUUACA